AAGGAACUUGUCAAAUUUUGGAAAUCAAAAGAAGGAAGGGACCUAAGUGAGAAGAACAAAAGAAGUCGUUCAUUGGUGAAGACAAACCAUACAGCAGGGACAAAGAGUUUUGCUCGUUGGGCUGAGGAUAUAAGACAAAAGGACCCUGAAAAA